rnacentral:rRNA from 1 species
GUAGGGUGCAAGCGUUAAUCGGAAUUACUGGGCGUAAAGCGUGCGCAGGCGGUUUUGUAAGUCUGACGUGAAAGCCCCCGGGGCUCAACCUGGGAAUUGCGUUGGAGACUGCAAGGCUUGAAUCUGGCAGAGGGGGGUAGAAUUCCACGUGUAGCAGUGAAAUGCGUAGAGAUGUGGAGGAACACCGAUGGCGAAGGCAGCCCCCUGGGUCAAGAUUGACGCUCAUGCACGAAAGCGUGGGGAGCAAACAGGAUUAGAUACCCUGGUAGUCCACGCCCUAAACGAUGUCUACUAGUUGUCGGGUCUUAAUUGACUUGGUAACGCAGCUAACGCGUGAAGUAGACCGCCUGGGGAGUACGGUCGCAAGAUUA